GUAGGUGAACCUGCGGAAGGAUCAUUCAUAAUCAAAGUGUUUUUAUGGCACUUUUAAAAAAAUCCAUAUCCACCUUGUGUGCAAUGUCAUCUCACUGGAGGCCAGCUGGCUGUCAAAAGCCCGUUUGGUCACCUUUGGGAUUUAUAUCUACUCAGAACUUUAGUGAUUUUGUCUGAAAAAUAUUAUGAAUAACUUAAUUCAAAAUACAACUUUCAACAACGGAUCUCUUGGCUCUCGCAUCGAUGAAGAA
rnacentral:misc_RNA from 1 species